AACGUGAACACUAUAUGGGUGGGGCAUGUUGUUGUGGGAAGAAAGGCUCUCAUUACAGCCUUGCUGCCGCACGAAACAGAGCGCCUAUAUUGUUUUGAUCUUGACACACAUAAAUGGGCAAACACAAGCAUCCCUGACUAUCUUGGUAAUUUCUCCGGCGACACCCAGUUUGUAGAGUAUAGGCUUUAUGGAUGUUACUACGACACGGUAGCUGCAUUAGUCCCAUUAGAAGAAGAAGAAGAAGAAAAGUAGGAGGAGGAGGAGCAAGAGGAAGAAGAGGAAGCAGAAGAUAAGGAGCUUCAACAAUUGUUUAAGCAUCACCGCCUUCAUCAAGUCUCAGAGGAGAUGGGUAUGGAUGCUAUUCGUAAUGUUCCUCCGCAAGUACAGUACUCGGCAAGCCUGCUUCACUUGGGAAAGAUGUACUUUUGUUAUGUAAGGACUGGCAUGCCUCCGCAUCCGCAUCCGAAAAUUGCCAGUGAUUUUGAUAUAGGAGAUGACAAAAAACGUUUCAUUAGCAUUGUAAUUUUUCAAGCCCUCAGGGGCACAUACAAAAAAAAUGAAACUAGACUUUCCAAGGCAAAUUUCCUUCAUUCGGAGCACUAUGAAGUUAAUACUCCGUUCCCAAGUGACGGUUUCAUCAAAGGCUGCUACGUUCUUGGCUCGGGAUACCUGGAGUCGAGUAAACAGAUCAACGUCUAAGGUGGGGUGGGGUUGUUGGCAAUCUUGGGCAGAAGAUGUCCAAGCGCGCGUUUCGAUUGCCAAGGUCACUCUCAAUCCUGCUGUGGUGUCUAGGGAAUACCGGUGCAGCGGCAGAGGAGCAUAUUUAUGUCCCGUAUACACGUGUAACCAAGAGAUGCAACUGUAGCAGAUAGUGAUGCUGAUAAUGUCUUAAGCAUUAAAAUUAAGCCAUCACUUACCAAUUUAUAACAAACAAAAAAAUAUUAAUAAUUAAAAAAAAAAAGAAAAAAAAAAACACACACACACACACGGUGGAUUUGCUCAUCAAGUCCAUCAUGUCUAGCAUGGAUCCCAAGAUUUUGGAAGAAAUGUCGAAGGAUGUCAACCAAAUGUUCAAUAUUCUCAAGCACGUGUAAAAGAGUAGAGAAAUAUUAUGUUUACAACAUUUUCGCAACAAAUUUUAAGUUGCAGGUUGUUAUAGGCUAUUAAUGGUGGGCAAAAAAGUAAUUUCAAUUGUUGGUUAAAAUUAAAACUGAUAACAACUUAUCACCUAUGAUAUGAUUUAUUGUUGUAAAAGAGAAGUGUCAUGGAAAUGUUGUGAAUGUAAUACUUCUUAAAAAAAUAACAAGGAUGAAAGCAAGGAUGCAAGAUUGUGGAAUCAAAUGAUAGAGGUCUUUAGUUUCUUAGAUAAAAGAUCCAACAUAUUUUUUGUCCUUUUAAGGCCGUUGUUAAUUCCUUUAUAGAUCAUUAGCUUACUUCAAGUUAUGUCUGAGAGUAAUCUUUAGACUCCCUUUUUUGGCAACUCUUACCAUGUAGCUUUUAUCUUUUGAACAAGUGAUUGUGAAGGCUAAUUUGCUGAA